rnacentral:siRNA from 1 species
UGCUUGUGUUAGUUAGUUUCGACA